AAAGGAGUCUGGCACAGGGGCCCUAUUCAACCCCCAAAGGAAGACAAGGCAAACUGCAUGGGGUGAAAAUGGAUGUGGUGUCUGCAGCUUCCAGGAAGUUUCCAUAAAAAGAAGAAGGAGAUUGACUUUUUGGCUUCCCAUUUUCUCCCCUUCUGCGGGCUGGGAUUUAGACACAGUGGAUGGAGCUGAAUCACCGGUUUUGAAAAAUGAGAGAUGGUCGUGUUCUCCUAAUGACAGAUGGAAGCCCAGGACAGACAGGCUCGUCUCCAUGGAAGAGAAAGAGAAAUGAUGAAUCUAAG